AAGUCGAACGGUAACAGGAUUAGCUUGCUAAUCGCUGACGAGUGGCGGACGGGUGAGUAAUGCUUGGGAAUUUGCCUUUGCGAGGGGGAUAACAGUUGGAAACGACUGCUAAUACCGCAUAACGUCUACGGACCAAAGGGGGGACUUGUUCCUCUCACGUGAAGAGAAGCCCAAGUGAGAUUAGCUAGUUGGUGAGGUAAAGGCUCACCAAGGCGACGAUCUCUAGCUGUUCUGAGAGGAAGAUCAGCCACACUGGGACUGAGACACGGCCCAGACUCCUACGGGAGGCAGCAGUGGGGAAUAUUGCGCAAUGGGGGGAACCCUGACGCAGCCAUGCCGCGUGUGUGAAGAAGGCCUUCGGGUUGUAAAGCACUUUCAGUUAUGAGGAAAGGUUGGUAGUUAAUACCUGCCAGCUGUGACGUUAAUAACAGAAGAAGCACCGGCUAACUCCGUGCCAGCAGCCGCGGUAAUACGGAGGGUGCGAGCGUUAAUCGGAAUUACUGGGCGUAAAGCGCACGCAGGCGGUUUGUUAAGCUAGAAGUGAAAGCCCUGCGCUCAACGUGGGAAGGCCUUUUAGAACUGGCAGACUAGAGUAUUGGAGAGGGGAGUGGAAUUCCAGGUGUAGCGGUGAAAUGCGUAGAUAUCUGGAGGAACACCGGUGGCGAAGGCGACUCUCUGGCCAAAUACUGACGCUCAUGUGCGAAAGUGUGGGUAGCGAACAGGAUUAGAUACCCUGGUAGUCCACACUGUAAACGCUGUCUACUAGCUGUGUGUGUAUUUAAUACGUGCGUAGCGCAGCCAACGCGAUAAGUAGACCGCCUGGGGAG
rnacentral:rRNA from 1 species